CCGGCUGGGCCUGCCGGGCUCCGGGCGCUUCCCCGGGCGGGAAGCUUCCGCGGGGGCGGGGACGGGGACGCGGCGCCCUCCGGCCCCUGGCGCUCUGGUCGGUGAUGGGUGCACGGGAACCCCUGCCAUCCGUCUUGCCCCCCUGUGAAAGUCGCGGUGCCCCUAGGCUGCUGCCCACCAGGGGGAGGGCCCCCGCCUCCCCCCAGGGCCCCCUCAUAGCCCCGGCAGGGGAUGUGGAGCCCCACGGCUGCUCGCCCCCGUGAGGAGACCGGGGUGCUGGGCUGAAGCAUGCCCACUGUGCCCCGAGCGCCCCCAGCCCCGCCUGCCAGUCGAGGGCUGUGGGUGGAGGCUGCAGCAUGCACCGGGGGGGGGGGGGGAAACCUGGUUCCUUGAGGCCACCGUGCACCCCAUGGGCGGAGAUCUUGCACACUGAUGCCAGCGUGCGAGUAUCAUAUUCAUUUCCGUGCUUUCAUAUCAUUUGUGCCCUUGGGCCAUCCCGGGGGCAUGUCGCACCCUUGAGCAGCAAGUGACUGGCAGAGGACAGCACUGCGGUCGUCAGCACCACAUAAAGUUGCAUCACCAUCUCAUCUCACACAUUCAGUUUACCUGGGAAGAAGGUGUUCUCACCCUUUUACAGCAAAAAAUCCAGCUGCUUGGGUAUUGAAGGCAAAACUUGGGUAGGAUCCUACCACCUCCAGCUGCCAAUCUGACUUCUACACAUGACUAUGACUUCACUGCAGGAUAGGCCAAAGUUUGCAAAAACAGAGGCCUAUGGGUGCAAUUUUCAAAAACAUCUAAGAGACGUAGGAACACAAGGGCCAUGGACUUCAAACUGCAAAUCCUGAAGGAAGACUAUCGGUUGGUGAAACAUUACAGCUUUCUUCACCUGAGAAAGUUCAAUAUACUGUAUAGGAAGGUGAUACUGAUUAGCAAUACAGCAUGGUCUAUUUGCUUAUCAAUUUGGUGUCUGAGUUUAUGAUGAUCAGGCUGUUAAUGAGGCCAUGGACUUAGUCUCUGUCUGCAUACAGCAACAUUUUAAGUGUGAAACUUUUUAAUAGGAAAAAAAUAGUAAAAUCUGAAAUUCUACUUGCAAUUAGGAAGCUACAAAACAUUCACUUUAGCAAUUUAAGACUACAGAACAGGAAAUAAAGAACUAGCAGCAUGGAAAUGAGUAAAAAUUAUUUUUUUAAAUGAUUAUUUUAAAUCAUCCUGCUUCAUAGUGAAAUUCAGCCCUCAGUUUCAGCCAUGAGAACAUGAUAAGUGUGCAUGUUCGUAAAUGAAGGCAAAUUUUGGCACAACGUGCGUAAGACUCACUAUGACCAUAAAGAGGAAUAACGGACGGUUACUGUACAUAAGCGUUCUCAAUCUUUGUAGAUCUUGAUGGAUGAGA